rnacentral:rRNA from 1 species
UACGGAGGGUGCGAGCGUUAAUCGGAAUUACUGGGCGUAAAGCGCACGUAGGUGGUUAUAUAAGUUAGAUGUGAAAAACCUGGGCUCAACCUGGGUCGUGCAUCUAAUACUGUAUAGCUAGAGUAUGAUAGAGGAAAGUGGAAUUUCAGGUGUAGCGGUGAAAUGCGUAGAUAUCUGAAGGAACAUCGGUGGCGAAGGCGACUUUCUGGAUCAAUACUGACACUGAGGUGCGAAAGCAUGGGGAGCAAACAGG